GGGGCUGUAGCUCAGCUGGAUAGAGCGGCCGCCUCCUAAGCGGCAGGUCGAGGGUUCGAAUCCCGCCAGUCCCG
rnacentral:tRNA from 1 species